rnacentral:tRNA from 1 species
CGUGUGGCUCAGUUGGUAGAGCAUGGUGCUUGCAACAUCAGGCUUGUGGGUUUGAUUCCCACCAGUACGA